rnacentral:rRNA from 1 species
GCUGGGUGGAUCAGUGGCGAACGGGUGAGUAACACGUGAGCAACCUGCCCCUGACUCUGGGAUAAGCGCUGGAAACGGCGUCUAAUACUGGAUACGAGACGUGAUCGCAUGGUCGACGUUUGGAAAGAUUUUUUGGUUGGGGAUGGGCUCGCGGCCUAUCAGCUUGUUGGUGAGGUAAUGGCUCACCAAGGCGUCGACGGGUAGCCGGCCUGAGAGGGUGACCGGCCACACUGGGACUGAGACACGGCCCAGACUCCUACGGGAGGCAGCAGUGGGGAAUAUUGCACAAUGGGCGGAAGCCUGAUGCAGCAACGCCGCGUGAGGGAUGACGGCCUUCGGGUUGUAAACCUCUUUUAGCAAGGAAGAAGCGAGAGUGACGGUACUUGCAGAAAAAGCGCCGGCUAACUACGUGCCAGCAGCCGCGGUAAUACGUAGGGCGCAAGCGUUAUCCGGAAUUAUUGGGCGUAAAGAGCUCGUAGGCGGUUUGUCGCGUCUGCUGUGAAAUCCCGAGGCUCAACCUCGGGUCUGCAGUGGGUACGGGCAGACU